rnacentral:rRNA from 1 species
CCUACGGGGGGCAGCAGUGGGGAAUAUUGGACAAUGGGCGAAAGCCUGAUCCAGCCAUGCCGCGUGUGUGAAGAAGGCCUUCGGGUUGUAAAGCACUUUCAGUGGGGAAGAAAGCCUUGGGGCUAAUACCCUCGAGGAAGGACAUCACCCACAGAAGAAGCACCGGCUAACUCGUGCCAGCAGCCGCGGUAAUACGGAGGGUGCGAGCGUUAAUCGGAAUUACUGGGCGUAAAGCGCGCGUAGGCGGUCUGAUAAGCCGGUUGUGAAAGCCCCGGGCUCAACCUGGGAAUGGCAUCCGGAACUGUCAGGCUAGAGUGCAGGAGAGGAAGGUAGAAUUCCCGGUGUAGCGGUGAAAUGCGUAGAGAUCGGGAGGAAUACCAGUGGCGAAGGCGGCCUUCUGGACUGACACUGACGCUGAGGUGCGAAAGCGUGGGUAGCAAACAGGAUUAGAUACCCCGGUAGUC